UACCUCUUUGUAUUUCAGUCCCUUAACUUUUCUGUUUUCUUUUCUAGAUAGAUUCUGAGUCUGUAAUUUUUGUCCUGUAAGUAACAGUUGAUCACAGGAGAGAUGUUUCUAAGUCACAAGUCAGAAAUGUCUCUGUAAACAGGCUAAAAAUGCAUAAUGAAAUGAUUUAAUGAGUGCUGCAAUCUUGAAACAUAGUUUGCUCUUUUUAGAGAUCAUACCAUCUUCAGAAUGUGGAAGUUAAGAGGAUGUAUGACUCUGUAUAGAUUUGUGUGCCAUCUUUCCAAGCUUUAUUUUAGUAGCUGUGUCUAUGAGUAUACCUAGAAUAUUUGGAUCAGGGGAUAUAUUUUAAAGUGGUACACUUACCAACUGGAAAUGAUGUUAUCACCCUUGAAUAUUACAACUUUCCCUGACAUUUUUUGGUCCUUUUUUUUUUUGUCAUCUUGCAAGCUUUAGUUUACUACUGCGUAUGCUGAAUAAUAGAAUAAAUGAGUAAAAUUUUCAAAGAGAAAAUCUGCCAGCUCGUAGAGACACUAACUAAAUAGGUAGCCUUGAUCUGUUCAUUUCUAAAUGUGGGAAAAGUGGCAUAUAUGUAAUUGUUGAUGUCUGCAUGCCCCCAUCUUUCCAUGCAAGCUGGCUUCCUGUGGAUGUCAGCGGAAAGGAAACUGCUGAUUGAGUCUGUGCAGGCCUGUAUAAAUUCCCUCCUCCUUCAUGGCUUGAGGUUUGCUUAGGGCCUCAGGAAAAAGGCCAAACUCUUAAAAAACGCCAAGUUGGCUCUGGAACCUGCAUAUCUGAAAAACAAAAAACCCAAAGGAUGUGGGGUCUAUGGAGGAUACUACUGUUACAUAACUAAAUUACAGGUAAGUAUGGUACCUUACUGCCAAGUGUUUGUCUUUAAUAGAAAUCCACAGUAAUUUCAAGCACAUCAUAAAUCAGAAUUCCUUUGAGUAUAGAAAAUAGCUGGUUUCCAGUGCAAUUGCAAAUGGAUCCAGUAUGGCUGUAUCAUAAGUGCUUCUGUCAUAAGUACCAGAACCUCUCUCGUUUGAUCGUGGGACCCUCUGUCAUUUUGAUUAAUGAAUUGAUGCCACAGUCAUAAUAGUAUGGUUCUGCAUACGAGGUGAGCAGCUCUACCACAGAGGCAGCUGAGUGUAUAAAUAGUGGUAUUUUUAUGAAGAGCCCCAAAUUAGCUUAUGUUUGUCUUCGCUGUUAUGUAGUAAUACUGUUUUCUAAAUCCUAAAUGAAGCUCGAGAGUCAUUAUUAUAAGCAUUCAACAAAAUUCCACAGGCAUUAUAAAUAUGAUAAGAUAUUAUAGCUAACUUUUUGGAUCAUAUUUAGUGAAUUUCUGGAAAACAAUUUAUUCCCUGGUCACUCUCAGUAAAAACAAUGUCACCACCAAUGAAUGAAAAAUCUUGCAGUCCCUGGAGUUUUCCUCCUGAGUAGCUCCACUGAUGCACUGGAGUCAAUUUUGUAAUCAUUCAUCUCCAGCCAGAAAUAAGAUCGUAGACUGUGGAGCUUCAUUUAAAAGCAUCUUGUAAUUCAUAUUGCGUAGAUCUACAUAGGAACAGCGCUGAUAAAGUAUUUUUUUAUUGCAUCAUUGUAAUCUUUAAGAUUAGAGAGGGAUGAAGUCAUGCAUACACAGGUGGUGAGAUACAGAAGUAUCCUAGCUGCUAACUUUUGUUGAAAGAGGUCUUGCUUGUAACUUAGUGAAAACAGUUUCUGUGUAUUUUGACCUUCUUUCAUGUAUUUGAUUAUAUUUGAUGCAUUUUGGUAAAAUGUUAAUGAUUCUGAAACAUGUUGAUGGACCCAUUUGCAACAGUUGGACAAAUUGUACUGGGUUUUGCUUUAAACUGCGCACAGUGGACAGCUUUUCUUUACAAACAUCUCUUCUCCCAAGCAUUUCUAAGUAACUCGGGCUUUACCUAAUCACCGACAAAGAAAAUGUCCUUCACUUUAGUUGGAAAGUCGGUAUAUGUUGGCUGAUAUGAAUCAAAAUGAGCAAAUGAACUCAUAAAGUGCCUUAGCAGAUGUUUUUUGGUUUUUUUUUUUUGCAUAGCACAUGUUCUGAUGUAAGCCAGUUUUAACACCAUCUAAUGCAUUGCAUAUUAGAAACUUCUGGAACUGCACUGAGAAGCGGAUAAAACUGUAUCAUUUAACGAAUAUACGUUCUAGUGCUGGCACGAGCAGCUCCAGCAAACUAAUGGACUACUGUAUUGUGUCCUUGUCACAUGUGAGCAAUAACUGAAGGCCAGUCCCAGCUCUGUUCAUUGCAGGAAUACCAACCUGAAGCAGCAGGCUGAGAAGACUGCCGUAGGGCAGAUAUUAUGGAAAAGACAAAGCUGUUUAGAUAACCCAGAGAAGAAAGAAAGAUCAGGUAAAUAAUUUGUGAAAGUCAGGAGUCUGGGAACAACAAAGUGCAAAAAUUGCUCAGCAUUCCGUUCUGAGUUCAUUUAUCAAGAGCUGACAUUAUUCAUGACACUGCCUUCAUAUUUUUUUUUUUACCACUUACAUCACCUCUAGCUUCUCUGGGUUGAAUCUCACCUUUGUCUUUUUGCCACAUCUUAGCUGGAAAAGUGCUCAGCAGCUUUGCUUAAUGGUGUCAAUACAAAGGAAUAUGUGAUGAUGUUUUUAUCUCAUGAUGGUUCCCUGUAAUGUUGUGAAUCGAGGAUGCUGUUGGACAUGCUGUAGCUUCUGGAGCUUUGGGACCCACAAAUUACAUCUCCAAACCAGAAAGAUUUGCUACAUUUGAUACCAGCUUCUGAAAUGGAUAAAUAGAUUCUGGGCAGAUGGGAACACCACAAGAGGUUUAGUACAAAACUAGGUUCUUAUUGUUAGGCUGUGGUUGGCUUGUUAUUGUAGAAACAGAGGUUAUGACCUAGAUGAUGCCCUUUGAAACAGUUCCUUCAUAAACCGAAUGGAUCGAGAAGCUUGAUUUCACCAUUGUGUGCUGUUUGCAAGUUACAAUCCCUUCCCCGGUGAUGGCUGAUGUAUCUGAUAUUCUGCAGGAGCAGUAGCAGGGGUUUUGGUUUUCCCAGCCCUGGUGUGUAGGGCUUCUGUUAAGCUAUGUAUGUCUCCUGUGAAGUGAUUUGAGUAGAUAUGAAUCCCCCCUUAGAAGAGAUUACAGGGGAUUAAAGAAGUUAGCAACACGGGCAAAAUAAUUGCUAGUCCUUUCUUAAUGUGUUUCCCGCUGUGAGCUAAUUCUUCCAUCAAUGAGACAAUAAAAUAGCGAAGAUUACAUACGUGCUGAAUGAUGGCCAUCCUUGACCAAGCUGGGAGGGACGUAAUUUAUACAACAGCGCAAGUGCUGAGAGAUGCUGACUGCCCAGGUGACAGGCUGCAGCGGGGAAAGGCUUCUUGUUUCCCUCUGCACGGCUCCCCAGAGCUCGGUGACAAAUGGCUGCGCUGAGUUUACGUGGCUGGAGAAAACUUACUCAUCGAGCUGAAAUUAUAGGGCACGCGAAAACUCCGUCCGUCUGAAUGCUCCCGUGGUAGCUGUGCACGUCCUCAGUCUGGGUUGUAUUUGGGGCUGACCCUUUUGUUUGUUCCGUGGGUUAGGUGUGGAGCCGGGCAGCAGGGCCCCCCAGUCCCCAGGUCUUUGAUGUAGGGGUGCUCUCCUUCCAGCCCGCUCGCCUCCCGAGGAGCACGCUGCAACACUGGCAGCCUGCGGACUUGGCAGGCCAAGGAGGUGGCACCGAGCACCGUGAGCUGUGAGAAGUGCAGGGGGUGGUGUGAAUACUGGGUGCUAGGGAAAGUUAGACCAGUCUCACUGGGAAAUGGGGUAAACCUUUGGGAGCUCUGAUACCUAGGCAGAAAGGCUGGAUAAAAAUGUGCAUGGAGGACUCAAGCACCCACAUUUGUGGGGACUGACACCAAUUACCGUGAUGUUGGCUGAAACUAGCGUCUAACUUGUUCAGUCACACCAAGACAGUAAGUUAUGGGUUGGGUUGUGUUCAUCACGCUCUGGCUACUUGCGUUGAAGUGGGUGGCGCAGACGCUGUAGCGUUACUCGGUGAGUGGACUGGAGCGAGACCACGUGCGACUAGUUAACCGCCGCUCUCGUUUACCACAUGUCUCCAAUUUAUUGCUACUUUUUUUUGAGAAAAUGUACAAAGGAAGAAAACAACAAGCAAGCUGAGCUGGAUUGACUACUAACUGCAGAUUGAUUGUGAAGUUUAUUGGUUGUUUCCUCAAUAGUGCCAAAUCAGCACCUGAUGUAGAAGCAGUGAGCGGUUUGAAGAAAGUUGUAAUUAAAACCAGGAUGGAAUCGAGCAUUUAUAGGGGUUCAGCACAUAAGUGGUCUUUUUCCCGUUGGAUAAUAGCAGUACAAAGGAAAGAUCCUACUGCCAAAGCAACAUUUUGUUGAAAUUGUAAAAUAUAUUUUACAGCGCAUUCCCUCAUGAGAAAGAAUGAGGAGAUGAAGUCGUUUCCAGCACCAUAGCUUGCAAAGCUGGGAAUAAAGUUGUGCUUAUGCAGGGAUUCCCAGACUUUUUGUAUCCUGAGCUGUUGUCUUCUGGAUGCUUGGUCUCACAAUACCAAUUGCACCCCAGCCCUAUGCUAACCUUGGAAAGAACAAGUCUAGAAUAGGUUUUGCAGAAGGCACAUGAAAAGUGAGUACUUAAUUCAGAAAAAGCACAUGCUCAGCUUAAAUAUGGAUAAAGUUUAUAUAUAAAUAUAAAAUAUAUCAUGGAUGUAGAUAGAUAUGAAUAUAUGAAUAAAGCUACAUACAGUGCUUGCCUGUAAAAAGGCCUCUUAUUUCUCUUGGUUAUGUAGCAGUUAUGUUCUGUCCUUUCUCUCCCACCGUUUGGUUUUAUAUUGUGGACUCUUUUGGUCAGGAACCAUAAUUUUAAUCCUCCUAUUUAAUUCAGUGCACACGCUUCUAAGAUACUGAAUAGAGACAACCUCAGGUCAAGAGUUUGCUUUCAGGAAAGUAAAUUGAAGAGAGGACAAACUAGGCGAGCAGUGAGCGGAAAGCAGUUAGGCUCCUUGCAGAGCCAGUUUUCAGUUGCUUUCAACAGAAGUUGAAUUCUGCUGUAUUGUGUUUAGGAUAUUUCUCAUAUACUACCUGUUAUCUUGAGAAUCUCUGAACCAUUAUUACUAUCAACUCCUCAAAAAACAUUUUCUUCUGGCUAGCUUCCUGGUACAUCAAUCUAUCUCAAAUAAAUCACCUGUUCUUUAAACUCAGAUACAGAUGUUUCCCUGAUAGCGCAGGGAGCUCUUCCCCAUUUUACAAACAUCUUGUACGCCAAAUGUUGAACUUAAAGCACAGGUCAGCUCUGAAAAGUGGCAUUUUAAAACAGCUCCUCUCGUUCUGCUGAUCUUCUUCUUCAGGUGGCCAGAGUUAUGUCUGACUUCAGAGCUAUAAAUAAGCUUCUGCCUCCUGCUAGCCACAUGGCUCUAAUUGAAGAGGGGUAUGCGCGUUCUCAGAGCAUCUGAUUGCUCUCGGGUUUUGGUGGGAAUCUUUGUGUAAGUGCCAUCAGUGCUGUUGAAAAUUUUCCCACCCUGGGUAUGGAAAAGGAAGAAAUUCUCCCAGUGCCAGAUUUUUUCCUCUGAGUUCCUGAGGGGACUGUGGAGUUGAACAAGUUCAACUUAGCUCCAGGAAAGCCGUCUCUGUUUUUAAGGGUAACAUUUAGAAAGUCCUCUUUCACUUGUAAACCUAGCCCGUAUGAUAUGGAAGUUGAUUUAACCAAUUAUGUCCUAUGGAGGGCUACAGUGCUCAGUCCCAAAUUGCCCUUGAAAACCCCAGGGAAAACAAGUGUCAGUUAUCCCUGUCAGUCUGACUGGGCCAGCUGGUGAGCAAGCAAAGCAAACUCAGCGAUGGGAGUGAAGAUACGGCUUUUCUGCUCUGUUACCUUAAAAUAGACAUAGAUAGCUUUUCCUGGGCAUCAGCUGUGCGUGUGUAAAGCCAUGCAGGAUGUGGCCCUUCCACUCUGUCAGAGAGAAUCCAGAGGGAGGUCAGUUUUCCUGCGUAGGGUUUCCUGGUGUGAAACUGGUUGCAGCGUGUGCUUUUGCUGAAGUGUGCAAAACCAGGCUUCCAGCUACAUAAAAGGCCACCAAUUUGUUCGUUCUGAGAUCAGCUGGAUUUAUCUGAAGUUUCAGAGGUGAGGCACAACCUUCCAGGCGACCUCCCCCAGCAGCCUAAGUUUCACUUAAUAAAACAAGUUCAGGUAGGUUUGAGGCAUCCCUUUAAGGUCAGUUGAACUUUCACUGGAAAAUACGAGUGCUGGCAAGUAUACGCAAUAUGUAAUGCAAAAUGUUUAGGGUGUGGGGAAGAAGUGUAAAGGAGCCAUACCACAGUGAUGAGCUUGGCUACAAAAGAGACAUAAAACAAGUUCCUUAGUGAAAACACCCUCAGAGACGGGUUAAGAAUUUAGGGGGUUGGUAGAAUGUUUUUGUUACCCCCAAGGGGAAAAACAGGAGAUCAAAGCCCGAAUUCACUUAAGAAUGCUUUCUUUGAAAUGUAUCUAUAAAUUAUAGCACGUACUGCUGGCAUCUAUUGUAGUCUUUGGUAUUUGCUUGAGUGUAUAACGUGAGAUCUGCAGUACCCUGAGUUGGCUCCUGAGUGUGUAAAACUGAAUGUUGGUGAAAGCAACAUUUGGGUUCUCAGGUUCCCUAAUGCUGCUUUUGCCUCUUCCCUGCUUCCUUGUGCUUGUCCCUGUGACUGCGUGUCCCAGCCACUGACACACAGGCUGAAGGGGGGUUCCUUGAGGGGUUGCUGGUAGGUCUGAGAGCUCUCCGCCACCUCUCCCACCAUUAAGGUGCCUGCCGUGGCUGUUAUCUCCUUGGUCAAGGCAGAACGGGAUGUUGCUCCCAGGGGAAUCCACAGCUGUUACCCCUAUGUCAGCAAAGUAGCUGCCGAGGCAUGUCACCCUUGGCUUCUAACUCCCAAAUCAGCCUCUCUGCUUCCUAGCUCAUCCGGAGGAGUGAGAGCCCUGACGUCUUGGCACGGCGGAGCGUUGCCCACAGGCCGUCUGUAGCGUUACGCUUCGAGCUCUUUCUUCAGCUGGAGUCUGUAGUUUUAAACGUUGCAUUUUAGACACCUCAUUUGCUUUGCUUCCCAACGGAGGUCACGUCGGCUUUUUGGCACAAUUGGAUUAAACCAGCAGACCUGGAUAGCUUCCAUUGGCGUUUCAGGAGCUUUGCUGUAAGGCAGACCUGUGACAUUCAUACCUUCCUAAGCCUGCACAACGCGGGCGAGAGCUGCAGUUGAGGUCUUGACCUCGGUUACUUAAGCCCCUUUCUCCCAGGAGCGUUCAUCACUUUAAUCACAGAGUCCUAAAUAAUCAGCGGGUAGCCUGUAAUUAGGGGGUUGUGUCUUGGACUCCUGCAGCCUGCUCCCGGUGUGCUGAGCGCGGCGUAUUUUGAUUUCCCAUUCCCCCAAAGGACGUUUGAUCUCAGAUUUACACUUUGGAAAAUUACGAAGGGUACAGCACCUCAGUCCCCUGGCAGCCUUCCUGCUUUCGGUGAUGUAAUCGACCACCCUGUCCUUUGGUUUAAAGCUAUGUGGCUUUGCCACAAAUAGAGGGAGGGGAAAGCGAGCCGAGGCCAGGAAUCGCCGCGCUAUAAAAGCUCCAUAUUGUGUGCUCUUGGACUUUGCUUUCUCCCGGCUUCCUUCGAGCCCACACAAGAGAUGGACUUGAGGUUUUUUUGGCUUUCUUCCCCUCCCCCCCUCCCUCCAUACAUACGCUGACCUUUUGGAAAAAUAAAUAAAAGAUAAAGCCGGACCUGGAAUGUUGCAGAAUGUGUGUACAUUUUGCUCUCUGUUGUUUUCUGCUGGGAUUAGUUGUUUACAAUGGGGGGGAGAGGGAGGGCAGAGGAAGGGAGGUCUGUGGCCUUAGCUGAAAUUAGUGGCAUUUCAGAGUGAUCUUGUUAGGUGGUCUGCAGUUUAAAGACCUAAAUCCUUGUAAUCCCCCCAUGCCUCCUUGGCCACUACUCCUUUUGCUCUUGUUCUCUCACUUUCGGGAAAAAACAAAAGAAGCCAGAGCCAGCCUCGCUGUCUCAGAUGGAGGCGUGUAACGUACCCACACGCACGCGUGCACGGCCGUGCGCACACUCACUCUCCUGUGCUUUCCUUCGCACAUCGUACCUGUGGAAGAAAUUAAUGCCUUAGCUCGCCGACAUCUCCAUCUGUUACCACUACAGGACCGGGCUUGUAAAAAUGCUCUCUCUAGAAUGCAGCCGCGCACUGAAUAUUUUUAUUUAUUUUCCGCAAAAACCCUCGGCUGCCAGACUCGCAGUUUGUGAUUGCACUUAAAACAAAUUCAAAUUGAAAUUUCAGCCGUAAAUCAAAUGCCCCAAAUUAGUUCCUCUUGUGGGUUUGAACAUGCUCUUUGGAUUUUAAGGUCAGGAGAUAUCCGUUUUCACAGUGCUGAAAAGUUUAAAAAUAUACUACAUUUUAAGGGCACAAAAAUAAAUAUGGUUUGCAUUAUAAAGCUUUACAUCAAAUAUGUGCAUAUGCACACACACACAACAACUUCGAUGAAGCCGAAUGCUGUCGGAGCACCUUUGAGGACUAAUGGCGCCUAAUUGUUAAGCAGGGCAGGAAACCCGGUGGCUAUUUAUCCGAGGAAAAUACAGCACAUUGCCCCGAGAUGUGAUAUUUACCCGGUAAGAGAAUAAAAGUUUAUUCCUUACUCUUCAAUUUAAAAAAAAAAUAGUAAAAAUUAAAUAAACACA